rnacentral:rRNA from 1 species
AUUGAACGCUGGCGGCAUGCCUUACACAUGCAAGUCGAACGGUAACAGGUCUUCGGAUGCUGACGAGUGGCGAACGGGUGAGUAAUACAUCGGAACGUGCCUAGUAGUGGGGGAUAACUACUCGAAAGAGUGGCUAAUACCGCAUGAGAUCUACGGAUGAAAGCAGGGGAUCGCAAGACCUUGUGCUACUAGAGCGGCCGAUGGCAGAUUAGGUAGUUGGUGGGAUAGAAGCUUACCAAGCCGACGAUCUGUAGCUGGUCUGAGAGGACGAUCAGCCACACUGGGACGGAGACACGGCCCAGACUCCUACGGGAGUCAGCAGUGGGGAAUUUUGGACAAUGGGCGAAAGCCUGAUCCAGCAAUGCCGCGUGCAGGAUGAAGGCCUUCGGGUUGUAAACUGCUUUUGUACGGAACGAAAAGCCCCGGGUUAAUACCCUGGGGUCAUGACGGUACCGUAAGAAUAAGCACCGGCUAACUACGUGCCAGCCGCCGCCGUAA